UACGGAGGGUGCAAGCGUUAUCCGGAUUCACUGGGUUUAAAGGGUGCGUAGGUGGGAAUGUAAGUCAGUGGUGAAAUCUCCGUGCUUAACAUGGAACUGCCAUUGAUACUAUGUUUCUUGAAUCUUCCGGAGGUCAGCGGAAUAUGUCAUGUAGCGGUGAAAUGCUUAGAUAUGACAUAGAACACCAAUUGCGAAGGCAGCUGACUACAGGGGCAUUGACACUGAGGCACGAAAGCGUGGGGGAUCAAACAGG
rnacentral:rRNA from 1 species